GCUCACAAUAUAAUGCAGCAAGCACAUCUCGAUGGAGAGCUGGUUGGCCAAAAGAAUGUCAAUGUUGCUCACAUUAUCUCUUUUCAAGAUGCACUUUAAUCCAUUAGCCUUGUUUUUUAAUUUGGAAAAAUAAAUACCUACCUCGGCAUAGCCAAAAGAUGUCCCAAACUUCUCCUGCUCAAGACAACCAAAACACCCUUAAUUAUGGAUU
rnacentral:lncRNA from 1 species